rnacentral:sRNA from 16 species
CUGCAAUUAACUAAACAACACACAUACAUCGACACAUAAUCCGGGGUGCUGUAACUCAUUGAGUUUCGGUCGGUUUUAUGGGGUGUAUGGAGGCCCAAC